rnacentral:tRNA from 1 species
GAGGGUGUAGCUCAGUGGCAGAGUACUUGCCUGGCAUUCAAAAGGCUCUGGGUUCAAUCCCCACUUUCU